AGGUGGUGAAAGAGAAGAGGAGGCCAUUGUAGGAGCUAGAAGUUGGUGGACAAGAGUAAAUCUGAGGUCUACAAAGGUUGGAGCUUUUUCCUGAGGCGAGGCUAGGUCGUUGUUUCGAGAUUCAAAGAUAUCGAGCACGUGAGAUACUAGAUAUCAUACGAGGUACUAGUGAGGACCGUGGGAAGGCACCGACAUGACUCGUACACACACACACACAAGCGGAUUUGGAUAUGUUUGAUCUUGGGAUUGAUAUGUUUUGUAUUAUGACCAUGUUACAUUAGAUUUUAUGGUUUGUCUCGAAUGAAAUUAUGUUUUAAGGAAAUGA